UACGGGGGGGGCAAGCGUUGUUCGGAAUUACUGGGCGUAAAGGGCGCGUAGGCGGUCUGCUAAGUUGGAUGUGAAAACUCUGGGCUUAACCCAGAGCCUGCAUUCAAUACUGACAGGCUAGAGUUCUGGAGGGGAUAGCGGAAUUCCUGGUGUAGCGGUGAAAUGCGCAGAUAUCAGGAGGAACACCGGUGGCGAAGGCGGGUCUCUGGGCCGAAAUUGACGCUGAGGAGCGAAAGCGUGGGGAGCAAACAGG
rnacentral:rRNA from 1 species